rnacentral:lncRNA from 1 species
AUUGUAAUAUAUCAUAAUAAGCAUAAAUUAAUUUCUUAGUUAAGAAACAGAAACAAAAAUGAAACAAAGAAAAAACUAGUAAAGUGAAGAAAAGAGAACACUUAUUAGUGAUAGUUUAAAUUGUGUUUGAUAUAUUGCAGUUACAUAAUGCAUUUCUUAAAAAUACAAAGUCCUUAUCUACAGUUAUAAUGAGCACAGUGGUAUUAACGUGGACAUUUAAUUAACCAGAAUACUCACUAUCUAGUAGGACAGGUACGAAUUUACAACAGCUUGGCUUAUGCUAUCUGUGGUGUGACAUUCUAAGCAUAAUCCAGAGACUGUUUAAUGGCAAUGUGUCUAUGUUACUGCUAUUUGUAUGGCCAUCUGCAACCCAAGGAACUGAAAUCAUGAAAUCAGAUUUUUAGACCUGGAAGGGCUCUAGUGCCCAUGUAGGCAUGUGCUUCCUAAGUUACAGGAAUAACUGCUUUUGCCAGUUAUAGUUAUUCUCUCUAUUGGGUGUGUCUCACAUUACUGGAAAAUGGUUAUGGAAAUCAAAACUCUGUCACACACAUACCUUUGGGACCAACGCUGUUUCGUCUGCAGCAAUGGCGUGCCUGGCUUUCAUGCUUGUGGUUUGUACCAUAGUUGUGAUGUUGUCUAGAAUUCCCAUGGCAGCUUUACAAUAUGAUUAAUUUUGCUCAUAUAGAUACAUAUCGAUUACGGAUAAAGAUGACUCAAGGUUUAAAUUUAGCCCCACCACAACAAAUUGAAAGUCACAGGUGUGCUACCUAAUUGCUCCCAGACUAUGAAAACAAAAGCACAAUGUCUGCCAGCACUGAAUCACUCUUCUCCACCCUUUUUCUCCCUUCCCUUCAUGUUCUCUGUCUUAAUUCUGUUCAUGUCGUAAACCGUGGUAGCUUAGAAAAGUGAAAAAUAACAUCCGGAGUCCAAAGUUCCAGUCCUGACACCACCACUUGUUUACUGUGAGAUCUCAAGCAUGUUACCCCACCUCCCUGAGCUUCAGUUUCCUCUUUUGUAGAAUAGACCUACUUGAAAACAGGUGCUCAAUAACGUGUUGAAUGAAAGAUGCCUAAGUUCAGAACAACACUAAAAGCUAAGUAUUAUAAUUACCAUCUUUUGGAGGAAGGGGACCAAGAUUUACAGAUUUGCUCAAGAUCACACCACUGUUAAAAGAAGGAAAUAGCUUUGAACCCACACCCAUCCAGUCCCACAAAUCCUGCUCUUUCCACUCUGCUAUACCGUUCGUUGAACGUAUGUGGAAGGGAGCCACGCGCUUUAUCGGGCUGCAUCACAUUGCAUGCAUUUUUAGUAUAUGUGUGCACAUGCCAACAGGCAUGUGGGAAUCCUGCUGGGUGAGUUGUAAUGAGGGCGUUUUGAGUGGCUAGAUGCAUUUUUGCUGGUGAGGCCUGGCUCAAGGAGAACAGGAAAGGAAGCAUACAAACCCAGUGUGUGGGAGGCUAGUCACACGGUGUGAGGGCUUGUCCUUGAACAAACUAUUGGGAAAUGGGUCUGUUAAGCCCUGGUCACUUAAUCUCUCUGAAUCAGCUUUCUCAUCUGUUGAAGAGACAUCACAGUGGUGGCAUCUGAAAGAUGUCAUGAGGUAUAAUGUGUCUUGGACACCUAAAAUCAGGACCCAGGACUAACUAUAGACCUGAUAAUCAGUAUUUAUAAUUAUUACAUUAUUAGGACCCAGGUCCUAUUUCUGUGCAAUGUUGAAAGAUAGUGAUAAGAACAAUUUAGAUCAGAACUUACAAGUUUGCAUGAUCUUCAUUAUAAAUGAAAUAGUGAAACAAUGCUGAGCGGAUUUACAGAGGCGUAACUCAUUCAUUAACCAGCUUAGACAGGCAUUUUUAUAUGCACUUGAAUGAAGUUUUAUUAUGGAGAGCAGUUGGAACAAGUCGAUUCUUUCCUCCUCCUCCAUCAUCCUCCUCUUUUCCCUGUCCACAUAACAUGGCUCACAUGAGAUAAAAUAACCCACACAAGCAUGCCUUGUGUAAUGUCUGCCACAUAGUAGGUGUCCAAUUAUCAUAUAAUUCCCCCCUUUUUAAAUGUAGUUCCUGAAAGAGAAAUCCCCUGGCAUGAAGCACAAGUUGGGGCAAAAACGGUGAGGGUGUGGCUGUUUGUAUCUUCUGGCUGGUGUUUGGGUAUAGCCGACAGGAUUUAGGUCAGAGGAAGUUCCCCAGACAGUUCAGCCUCAACCAGUCAUCUGGGGUUUCAGGGAGGGCAGGUGAAGGUCAUAAUAUCCCCCUAUUUCAGGAGGCCACCCCUCCCCAGGAUCCUGAUCUUGAAAUGUACCAGACAUGGACCAUUGCGUUAAUUUGUCUGGGUCGGCUUCCUCAUCUGUAAAAUGGGUAUAAGGUUACCUGUGCUGUCAGCCACAUGGGGGGCGCUCACAGGCUGCACAUAGAGCCCACGUGUUGUGUUGCGUGAGGACCCCUAAGGAUUUGUUGAGUGGUCCUAGGUGCUCAAGUCACUGUACCUGCAGGGUGGCUUGAGCUGGGCCCACCUGACUGAUUGGCUGGUCAAUAGGUGGCCUGAGAACCAAAACUAGCCUCCAGCACAUUGAGCAACCGGCUUCCUUCCUGCCCCGGGUCAGGAGCUGGGCCAGGGAAAGUGAAGAAACCUGUUUGGGGCCUCGGCAGGGUGGGCGUGGGUGGGGCCCUGCCGGGAAAAGAGGCGCCUAGACCAGUUAGUUUCCUUUGCUCCAGGACCGGAUGCGGAGCCGGGACUCAGGUGGAGGCAGGAGAAAUACGCACCCUGGGUGCACCUGUAAGUCCUCCAGGACUACAUUGGUUUUGGCUAUGACAUGACCAGGGGCUCUGGGUCGGUGGUCACCGGGCGUGGGGCUUCUGGCUGCUAAAUCAGGAGAGUGAGCGGGCCGGGCGGCGGCGAAUGAGUUGACGGGUGGAGCUGGAAGAGGCUUUGGCGAUCCAGCGGGCAAGCGAAGGACACCGCGGGAAGGGGUGGUACCCGGAAACGCAGCUGGGCAGUCGCAUUCCUAUCAGGCGAAGGCCGCCUUUCCUGGCCUCCCCCACAGGCCCGCCAGCGAUUCGUCCUUACAAGGCUAGCCUCCACGGGCUGCCCUCUGUGUAAAUAAAGCCACAGACUUCCGCCCACAGGUCGCCGCAGGUCCCGCCCGCAGCGCCGGGCCGCGGGGGAGGCGGGAACUGGUGCUACGGCCGCUACGCAGGCCUCGGGAGGCUCGGAGCCCGCCACGCCCCAGCCCUCUCGCAGGGCCGGGGAGCCACGGGGCCAAAAGGAGGAGCAGGUGGAAGAAAUCCAGGCUCAGACCGUCGGAGUCCCCACCCAUGAGCACCCUUCUCCACUGAUCACUCAGAACAUGGUAGGCCCUAGAGAGACAGCAGCCCGAAUCUUCCCAGAAACCCUGCAGGAGAUUCCUUCUUCCCAUUUUAUAGAAGGGAGGCUGAGGCUCGGCACGUUGAAAUGGCUUGACCAAGGUCCCACAGGCAAAAAAAUGGUACAGCAAGAUAUUGUAACCCAAUAUCUGGCUGCAAAACCCAGUCUCUCCCCAACCCACCUAUCGUCACCGAGAUUGUAAAACUUCUAACCGGGAAGAAUCAAAUACAUGCACAACGGGUUACAGGUUAACAGACAGAUGGGAGCGGAAAGGGACAUUCCAGCGCUUCCCUGGGCGUGUCGCACAGGGCAACUCCAACCACAGGCGAAUUUUCCUGGGUGACAGUUAAACUCCUUUUUGCAUGAAAAAAUACAGAUUCUUAUUAAAACAAUAAUCGGUGAACUGUAAAGUAUUUAACACAUGUGCAACAUUAUUGUUUGUAUCAUAUUGCCAUCACCACCAUACUUGGUGAAACAUGAGCUCACAUGUAGCUCUUGUUAUAUAAAUAUCAAUAUGUCAUUUUGGCUUCUUCACAGUGUUCAAAACUGUAGUUCCUUAAUGUUUGGGAUGUUCUUUCUCCUCAAAGCAGGCAUCAAAAUCUCUGGCCCAAACUGGGAUUAUAGGCAUGAGCCACUGCGCCUGGCCUUAAGUCAGAUUUUUAACCCUUUUUAACAAAAGAGCAGUAUUUUGAUGAUGAUUAUGAUUUUUUUUUCUUGUGGCCAGAGUGGAAAAACAAUCACUCUCGGCAGAUACCUUCAUGAAUAUUACUGAUAAAACAUGUCAAGGGGUCAAACCAGGAAAUGGCACAAGUGAAACUUGCAGAAUAUGAUCAUGCCAUUCCCCUGCUUAAGGUUCGUCAGUAGCUCCAAGGAUAAAAUCCCAGCUUCUGAGCAGGGCAUUUUCGAGGUCCUUCUUCAUCUGACUGCUGCCUCCUUAUGCCAUCAGGCCCUUCCCCAUGCUGUUUCCUCUGUUGAGGAUGCAGUUCCUCCUUUUCUUCUCUGCUCAGCAAACCCUAGUGGUCUUGUAAGACACCACCUCCUCCCAGGGCCCUUUCACUACUCCUCUAGGGAAGAUCGACACCUGUGAGCUCAGGGACCUGUGGCUGCCUCCAUUAAAGUGGCAACUGCCACCUUUUAUAUAUUUGUCUGCACCCCCUGGUAGAUGGAGAGCUCUUUAUGCUAGCGACUUUGUGUCCCUAACACCCGACACGGAACCUGGGACACAGAAGGCUCGGUGUGUGUUUGUGGAGUGAAUGAGCACACGUGUGAACGAGUGUCAGUCAUUCUUUGCUACCUUCUCAAGUCUUGGGUUGAAUACAUUAGUUAAAAGAUCAAUUAAAGUGAAUUGGGAAGCAAAAAUUACUUCUUUGCCAAUAUUGGCUUUGGGACCAGAAAAGGCCAUGCUCAUUCCCACGUAACAGCUCUUUUAAAAUGAAGGCAGCUCUUUUGUCCAUCUGAAUUGCUUCUCUUCCAGGCCACGCUUCUCUUGUCCCUCAGCUGUUCUUUAUUAGAGAGGCUUUGAGGACUUUUAUUACUCUGAGAGCCUCAUCAGAAUGUUUCUCUCUGCUGCUAUUUCUCAUUGGAGUCUAUGACAAACCACUCGACUGCCUCAUGACUACAUUGACACCAUAGCAAUCCAUCAUACAUCUCAAACAAUAAUCACAGGUAACAGAGGUCC